rnacentral:rRNA from 1 species
UGUUGUCCGACUCUGUUGCCUCCGGGGCGACCCUGCCUUCGGGCGGGGGCUCCGGGUGGACACUUCAAACUCUUGCGUAACUUUGCAGUCUGAGUAAACUUAAUUAAUAAAUUAAAACUUUUAACAACGGAUCUCUUGGUUCUGGCAUCGAUGAAGAACGCAGCGAAAUGCGAUAAGUAAUGUGAAUUGCAGAAUUCAGUGAAUCAUCGAAUCUUUGAACGCACAUUGCGCCCCCUGGUAUUCCGGGGGGCAUGCCUGUUCGAGCGUCAUUUCACCACUCAAGCCUCGCUUGGUAUUGGGCAACGCGGUCCGCCGCGUGCCUCAAAUCGACCGGCUGGGUCUUCUGUCCCCUAAGCGUUGUGGAAACUAUUCGCUAAAGGGUGUUCGGGAGGCUACGCCGUAAAACAACCCCAUUUCUAAGGUUGACCUCGGAUCAGGUAGGGAUACCCGCUGAACUUAAGCAUAUC